rnacentral:rRNA from 1 species
AACGUAGGAGGCGAACGUUAUCCGGAUUUACUGGGUGUAAAGCGCGUGCAGGCGGCAGCGUAAGUGGUGCGUGAAAGCGCUCAGGCUCAACCGGGCGAGGCCGUGCCAGACUGCGCAGCUAGAGGUAGGUAGAGGCGUGUGGAAUUCCGGGUGUAGUGGUGAAAUGCGUAGAGAUCCGGAGGAACACCAGUGGCGAAGGCGACACGCUGGGCCUGACCUGACGCUAAGACGCGAAAGCAUGGGGA